rnacentral:rRNA from 1 species
GAGUUUGAUCCUGGCUCAGGAUGAACGCUGGCGGCGUGCUUAACACAUGCAAGUCGAACGAAGCACUCUUUUAGAUUUCCUUCGGGGAAGAAGAAAUUGUGACUGAGUGGCGGACGGAUGAGUAACGCGUGGGCAACCUGCCCCAUACAGGGGGAUAACAGCCGGAAACGGCUGCUAAAACCGCAUAAGCGCACAAGGGCCGCAUGGCCUGGUGUGAAAAACUCCGGUGGUAUGGGAUGGGCCCGCGUCUGAUUAGCUAGUUGGCGGGGGAGAGGCCCACCAAGGUGACGAUCAGUAGCCGACCUGAGAGGGUGGCCGGCCACAUUGGGACUGAGACACGGCCCAAACUCCUACGGGAGGCAGCAGUGGGGAAUAUUGCACAAUGGGGGAAACCCUGAUGCAGCGACGCCGCGUGAGCGAAGAAGUAUUUCGGUAUGUAAAGCUCUAUCAGCAGGGAAGAAAAAUGACGGUACCUGAGUAAGAAGCACCGGCUAAAUACGUGCCAGCAGCCGCGGUAAUACGUAUGGUGCAAGCGUUAUCCGGAUUUACUGGGUGUAAAGGGAGCGCAGGCGGUGCGGCAAGUCUGAUGUGAAAGCCCGGGGCUCAACCCCGGGACUGCAUUGGAAACUACCGAACUAGAGUGUCGGAGAGGUAAGUGGAAUUCCUAGUGUAGCGGUGAAAUGCGUAGAUAUUAGGAGGAACACCAGUGGCGAAGGCGGCUUACUGGA